rnacentral:rRNA from 1 species
GUGUCAGCCGCCGCGGUAAUACGAAGGGUGCGAGCGUUAUUCGGAAUCACUGGGCGUAAAGGGUGCGUAGACGGUGUGUUAAGUUUGUCGUUAAAGACUCUGGCCUAACCGGAGGGUUGCGAUGAAAACUAGCACGCUAGAGGGUGAGAGAGAGAAGUGGAAUUCCCGGAGUAGCGGUAAAAUGCGUGGAUCUCGGGAGGAACACCAAUGGCGAAGGCAGCUUCUUGGCUCAUUUCUGACGUUGAGGCACGAAAGCGUGGGGAGCGAACAGGAUUAGAUACCCCCGUAGUCC